GUCGAGGUAGCGUAGCCUGGUUUGUGCGCCUGACUCAUAAUCAAAUCGAUGUAACUCUCAGGGCCAGAUUUGAUGAGUUAUCAGGAGGUCGCGGGAUCAAAGCCCGCCCUCGACACCA
rnacentral:tRNA from 1 species